UUUUCGGUGUAGGAUGAGGCUAUAUCGUAUCAGCUAGUUGGUGAGGUAAUGGCUCACCAAGGCUAUGACGCGUAACUGGUCUGAGAGGAUGAUCAGUCACACUGGAACUGAGACACGGUCCAGACUCCUACGGGAGGCAGCAGUAGGGAAUAUUGCUCAAUGGGGGAAACCCUGAAGCAGCAACGCCGCGUGGAGGAUGACACUUUUCGGAGCGUAAACUCCUUUUCUUGGGAAAGAAUUAUGACGGUACCCAAGGAAUAAGCACCGGCUAACUCCGUGCCAGCAGCCGCGGUAAUACGGAGGGUGCAAGCGUUACUCGGAAUCACUGGGCGUAAAGGACGCGUAGGCGGAUUAUCAAGUCUCUUGUGAAAUCUAACGGCUUAACCGUUAAACUGCUUGGGAAACUGAUAAUCUAGAGUAAGGGAGAGGCAGAUGGAAUUCUUGGUGUAGGGGUAAAAUCCGUAGAGAUCAAGAAGAAUACCCAUUGCGAAAGCGAUCUGCUGGAACUUAA
rnacentral:rRNA from 1 species